UAUAUGUCCAAUCCUAUGGUUUGGCUCAAAGGUUGGCUAGUUGUGGCUAGAGUUCUCUGCUAGAUUGCUAGCUCAGCACCUUAACACUCAGAGUUUCUUGUCUUGAGGCAAAGGAAAAUGUUCUUUCUGCCAUUGCCAGUUCAUCAGUUGGACAUACUUAACCAACAAACAAAGCUGAUAUAGGGAGGUCUGUCAGUAGCCUCAAAUGGCCACAUACUUCAAGGGCAAAUAAUCUGUGAUUUAAGAAUGGAUAUGAGAAGAGCAGAGCACAGUAUAAAUUUCUCUGGCAAGUCUUCAGUUAUGUUUGAACAUGACAAUGGUAAAGUAAUGAGGACUUAGUGUGGUCUAAGGCUACAAAGAAAUUCUCAACCGUGAUCUUAUGAACCCGUCAGGUGUGGGGGAAGCAAAUAUGUUUUAAAAAACUUAGCAUGCAGUAGAGUCCAUCAUGCAAAAUAAUCAUUGCUGUGUGUUUCAAUCACCUGGCCCGGUUGGGUCUUGAUGUUGGUUUGUUUUGUUAGGUGAUGAGUAGGAAGGUGAACGUGUUACCCCACAGUAUCUUUUGGUUUUGUUUUUUAAUAAAUCACAGAGUGCAGUUUUUGGAGUUUUUAAUAAUUGAUAGGGAAGACAGAAUUGAGAAUUUGAAAUGGCCAGUGUGUUUUAUAUUACCAAAGUACUUACUGAUGAUUGACCACGUUGUAUUGCGAGGAAUCAGUUUACCUUCGCUGGAUUAGAGCCAAAUGCGGGCCACCCAUCAGUUCAGAGAAAGCAGGAGAGCAUCUUUCAUAGUGCUAUGUAGAGGGUUGAGCUCUUGAAAACCCUGAGAAAAAUUAGAGAUUUAGAAAGGAAAUGAGAGGUAGAAUAUUGAGUACUUAAAAAAAAAAAGUCUAAGUAAGUGGUCUGAACUUAAGUGUCCUAAAGCCUUGAUAUUUUUUAACCACCUCUGGGAUUGCCUGGAUUCCCUUUGGAGAGGGAAUGAAAAGUUCUGACAGUGGGAAAGCCCUUGUAGGAAAAUACGUGAGUGAGUUCAUGUACGAUGGUGGGAGGAAUGCCAUCCCACACCCCAAGCCAUACAUUCUGGCAUUUAAGAACUGCUUGAUCGUGUGCCUCAAGGGGAGAAAAAGUCACGUAGUUUCCCAGAGACCAGGCUUUCCAAGCAAUGGAGAGGCUCAAAGCAGCAUUCAGCUAGAGGCCAUCCAUCUUCUCCUUUUAUGGAGAAGGCUGACCCGAGACAAGACAUCUGCUCAUGAAGGAGGGCCGUGUCUACUGCCAUUGCCUAAAUGAUAAGCUUUAGGUAGAUAGUCUUGCAUUUUGAUAGCAAAAUAUUUUUUUAAGUCUAUAUUUUUAGCGUCCUUAGUAUGUACUUAUUGAAUAUUAAAAAGAAAAAGGUGUGGGUUUCUCAGAUCAGAGUUCAGGGAGCUGUGUAAAUUCGACGUGAAGUCGGUCUAGUGGCCCUGUGGUCACCACUCCACUUUGCUCUGCCUCAAUUUCAGUUGUUUGCUCCAAGGAGAGUUCUUGGAACAGUAGGUGUUAGCGUCUUCACCUUACUCCCCAGGUGUUUGCUGGCCACAGUCUCAUUUCUAACAUCUGAAUCUGGGAAACGUUUUGAAGUGAUGUAGGGAACAAAACUGCUUUUUCCACCAUGUAGUCUGAUUUUGCCAAAUCACCCAAGAAAGUAUACGAUGUGCGGAGUGUGCGUUUCUUGGAUGGGACCUAUCUGGUCACCCAGCUCAAUCCCACAGUCAUAAAUUCCUACCUCUAAGUUCCUGCCAAAGGCUCUCCAGCCUCUGUGUGCACUCGUUGAAUGAAUGCCUUGCCUAAAGUUUGGCCUUUUAAGGAGAAAUGGCAUGUGAUGGUAUAAACAUAUGAGGGUUUAAAAAAAUGAUCUCUGCCUCUCCUUCUCUCCUUCUCUCUUUUCCCCCCCUUUCUGUCUUUCUCCUGCUCUUCUGCUUCCCCAUGCGCUAAAUUCAAUUUUUUCUCAGUUGUUACAAGCAUAUUGCUUUGAAUGUGGACCUUGGGUGAGGGAGAGGAUCAUUCUAAAAAUAGAGAAUGGAAGAUACUUCUGAGUUGAUAGGGCCAAAAGGGCUUUGCUCCACUGUAGAGGCUGAAGCCAACGGUAUUUGUUGAGACUGUCGAGGGCUUUAGCAUCUCGUUGCAGAC
ensembl:lncRNA